rnacentral:lncRNA from 1 species
GAAGAGAAGGAAUGCUUGAGAAACUUUACAAGAAGAAACAAAAGUAAUUAUCUGCUAGUUAGAUAUAGGUAGGAAAAAACAAGAAAGGGUAAUUACAAGGUAAACUCAACUAACAUCCUCAGGGAUGUUGCUUUAAGAAGGAUGAAAUAAGUAGAAACAUUAAUUCACUGGUACAAGGAGGGGGAAAAAGAUGGGGACAAAAGAAAUGGACAGAAGAUAAUAUUUAUCCACCAGUUGUGGGAGCCUUUGUAAGCUGGAGACCAACUAGAAUUUAAAUAAAACCUUGAAACAAAAAAGAAAAGAAAAGAAAGUUGGAGAUCAAGAAAAGAGAAAGCAGCGGUUUGGAUUCAUCCAGGACUAGAUACAACUAAAAGACAUUGGAGCAAAGGAAUUUGAGGUAUGGAAAAAUAUAUUAUUUAUUAGAUAAUGAGCAUUGGAAUAUAAGAGAAUAAGUAGGGAUGCAAAUGCAAUAUAGGAAAAGGCAAAGGAAUAAAUAGAUCUGUUUCCAAGUACA